rnacentral:rRNA from 1 species
UGGAUCAAAUCAAGCGCGAGAAGGGCGUUUGGUGAAUGCCUUGGCAGUAAGAGGCGAUGAAGGACGUGAUAC